rnacentral:rRNA from 1 species
UACGGGGGGAGCAAGCGUUGUUCGGAUUUACUGGGCGUAAAGGGCGCGUAGGCGGUCAGCACAAGUCAGUUGUGAAAUCUCCGAGCUUAACUCGGAAAGGUCAACUGAAACUGUGCGACUAGAGUGCGGAAGGGGAACUGGAAUUCUUGGUGUAGCGGUGAAAUGCGUAGAUAUCAAGAGGAACACCUGCGGCGAAGGCGGGUUGCUGGGCCGACACUGACGCUGAAGCGCGAAAGCCAGGGGAGCGAACGGG